CCUGACUGCUAUCGGAUUGAUACUAAGCCAUGCGAGUUUUUGUAGCAAUACAAGGCAGACGGCUCAGUAACACGUAGUCAAUCUAACCUAUGGACGAGGAUAACCUCGGGAAACUGAGAAUAAUACUCGAUAGAUCAUUAUGCCUGGAACGGUUUAUGGUUCAAAUGAAUUUCGCCAUAGGAUGGGACUGCGGUCUAUCAGCUUGUUGGUGAGGUAAUGGCCCACCAAGGCUAUUACAGAUACGGGCUCUGAGAGGAGAAGCCCGGAGAUGGGUACUGAGACACGGACCCAGGCCCUAUGGGGCGCAGCAGGCGAGAAAACUUUGCAAUGUGCGAAAGCACGACAAGGUUAAUCCGAGUGAUUCCUGCUAAAGGAAUCUUUUGUUAGUCAUAAUACCACUAAUGAAUAAGGGGUGGGCAAGUUCUGGUGUCAGCCGCCGCGGUAAAACCAGCACCUCAAGUGGUCAGGAUGAUUAUUGGGCCUAAAGCAUCCGUAGCCUGCUGUGCAAGUCUUCGGUUAAAUCCAUCUGCUCAACAGAUGGGCUGCCGGUGAUACUACACGGCUAGGGAGUGGGAGAGGUCGAUGGUACUCGGUGGGAAGGGGUAAAAUCCUUUGAUCCAUUGAUGACCACCUGUGGCGAAGGCGGUCGACCAGAACACGUCCGACGGUGAGGGAUGAAAGCUAGGGGAGCAAACCGGAUUAGAUACCCGGGUAGUCCCAGCUGUAAACGAUGCAAACUCAGUGAUGCCUUGGCAUGUAGCCAAUGCAGUGCCGCAGGGAAGCCGUUAAGUUUGCCGCCUGGGAAGUACGUUCGCAAGAAUGAAACUUAAAGGAAUUGGCGGGGGAGCACCACAAGGGGUGAAGCCUGCGGUUC
rnacentral:rRNA from 1 species